UACGUAGGGUGCGAGCGUUGUCCGGAAUUAUUGGGCGUAAAGGGCUCGUAGGCGGUUUGUCGCGUCGGGUGUGAAAACCAGGUGCUUAACUCCUGGCUUGCUUUCGAUACGGGCAGACUAGAGGUAUUCAGGGGAGAGCGGAAUUCCUGGUGUAGCGGUGAAAUGCGCAGAUAUCAGGAGGAACACCAGUGGCGAAGGCGGGACUCUGGGCCGAUACUGACGCUGAGGAGCGAAAGCGUGGGGAGCGAACAGG
rnacentral:rRNA from 1 species